GAUGAACGCUGGCGGCGUGCCUAAUACAUGCAAGUCGAGCGAACGGACGAGAAGCUUGCUUCUCUGAUGUUAGCGGCGGACGGGUGAGUAACACGUGGAUAACCUACCUAUAAGACUGGGAUAACUUCGGGAAACCGGAGCUAAUACCGGAUAAUAUUUUGAACCGCAUGGUUCAAAAGUGAAAGACGGUCUUGCUGUCACUUAUAGAUGGAUCCGCGCUGCAUUAGCUAGUUGGUAAGGUAACGGCUUACCAAGGCAACGAUGCAUAGCCGACCUGAGAGGGUGAUCGGCCACACUGGAACUGAGACACGGUCCAGACUCCUACGGGAGGCAGCAGUAGGGAAUCUUCCGCAAUGGGCGAAAGCCUGACGGAGCAACGCCGCGUGAGUGAUGAAGGUCUUCGGAUCGUAAAACUCUGUUAUUAGGGAAGAACAUAUGUGUAAGUAACUGUGCACAUCUUGACGGUACCUAAUCAGAAAGCCACGGCUAACUACGUGCCAGCAGCCGCGGUAAUACGUAGGCGGCAAGCGUUAUCCGGAAUUAUUGGGCGUAAAGCGCGCGUAGGCGGUUUUUUAAGUCUGAUGUGAAAGCCCACGGCUCAACCGUGGAGGGUCAUUGGAAACUGGAAAACUUGAGUGCAGAAGAGGAAAGUGGAAUUCCAUGUGUAGCGGUGAAAUGCGCAGAGAUAUGGAGGAACACCAGUGGCGAAGGCGACUUUCUGGUCUGUAACUGACGCUGAUGUGCGAAAGCGUGGGGAUCAAACAGGAUUAGAUACCCUGGUAGUCCACGCCGUAAACGAUGAGUGCUAAGUGUUAGGGGGUUUCCGCCCCUUAGUGCUGCAGCUAACGCAUUAAGCACUCCGCCUGGGGAGUACGACCGCAAGGUUGAAACUCAAAGGAAUUGACGGGGACCCGCACAAGCGGUGGAGCAUGUGGUUUAAUUCGAAGCAACGCGAAGAACCUUACCAAAUCUUGACAUCCUUUGACAACUCUAGAGAUAGAGCUUUCCCCUUCGGGGGACAAAGUGACAGGUGGUGCAUGGUUGUCGUCAGCUCGUGUCGUGAGAUGUUGGGUUAAGUCCCGCAACGAGCGCAACCCUUAAGCUUAGUUGCCAUCAUUAAGUUGGGCACUCUAAGUUGACUGCCGGUGACAAACCGGAGGAAGGUGGGGAUGACGUCAAAUCAUCAUGCCUCUUAUGAUUUGGGCUACACACGUGCUACAAUGGACAAUACAAGGGGCAGCGAAACCGCGAGGUCAAGCAAAUCCCAUAAAGUUGUUCUCAGUUCGGAUUGUAGUCUGCAACUCGACUACAUGAAGCUGGAAUCGCUAGUAAUCGUAGAUCAGCAUGCUACGGUGAAUACGUUCCCGGGUCU
rnacentral:rRNA from 1 species